rnacentral:rRNA from 1 species
UACGAAGGGGGCUAGCGUUGCUCGGAAUCACUGGGCGUAAAGCGCACGUAGGCGGAUCUUUAAGUCAGGGGUGAAAUCCUGGAGCUCAACUCCAGAACUGCCUUUGAUACUGAGGAUCUUGAGUCCGGGAGAGGUGAGUGGAACUCCGAGUGUAGAGGUGAAAUUCGUAGAUAUUCGGAAGAACACCAGUGGCGAAGGCGGAUCACUGGCCCGGUACUGACGCUGAGGUGCGAAAGCGUGGGGAGCAAACAGG